rnacentral:rRNA from 1 species
GUGUCAGCAGCCGCGGUAAUACGAAGGGGGCGAGCGUUGUUCGGAAUUACUGGGCGUAAAGGGCGCGUAGGCGGCCGAUCAAGUCAGAUGUGAAAGUCCUGGGCUUAACCUGGGGACUGCAUUUGAUACUGAUUGGCUUGAAUGCAGGAGAGGAUAGCGGAAUUCCCAGUGUAGAGGUGAAAUUCGUAGAUAUUGGGAAGAACACCGGUGGCGAAGGCGGCUAUCUGGACUGUGAUUGACGCUGAGGCGCGAAAGCGUGGGGAGCAAACAGGAUUAGAUACCCUGGUAGUCC